rnacentral:rRNA from 1 species
UACGUAGGGACCAAGCGUUGUUCGGAUUUACUGGGCGUAAAGGGCGCGUAGGCGGCAUGACAAGUCACUUGUGAAAUCUCCGGGCUUAACUCGGAACGGCCAAGUGAUACUGUCGCGCUAGAGUGCGGAAGGGGCAAUCAGAAUUCUUGGUGUAGCGGUGAAAUGCGUAGAUAUCAAGAGGAAUACCUGAGGUGAAGGCGGCAUCCUGGACCGACAUUGACGCUGAACGGCGAAAGCUAGGGGGAGCAAACGGG